rnacentral:rRNA from 1 species
AGAGUUUGAUCAUGGCUCAGAACGAACGUUGGCGGCGUGGAUUAGGCAUGCAAGUCGAGCGAGAUUUUGUUUUUUCAAUUCUUCGGAAGAGAAAACUCAAUUGAGAGCGGCGAACGGGUGAGUAAUAUAUGGGUAAUUUGCCUCUUUGUUCGGGAUAGCCAUUGGAAACGAUGAUUAAUACCGGAUGUGUUCAGGAACUGCAUAGUUCCUUCUAUAAAGGCGGGGAAUCUUCGGAUCCUGUCGCAAAGAGAUAAGCCCAUAUCCUAUCAGCUUGUUGGUGAGGUAACGGCUCACCAAGACUUACGGGUAGCUGGUCUGAGAGGAUGAUCAGCCACACUGGGACUGAGACACUGCCCAGACUCCUACGGGAGGCUGCAGUCGAGAAUCAUUGACAAUGUACGAAAGUAUGAUCAUGCGACGCCGCGUGGAGGAAGACGGCCUUCGGGUUGUAAACUCCUGUCAGCAGGGAGGAAAGAUAGUUUGAGUAAUACUCUUACUAUUUGACAGUACCUGCAGAGGAAGUCACGGCUAACUCUGUGCCAGCAGCCGCGGUAAUACAGAGGUGGCAAACGUUGUUCGGAUUUACUGGGCGUAAAGGGUCCGCAGGCGGUUUGGUGUGUCAGAUGUGAAAGCCCACAGCUCAACUGUGGAACUGCAUUUGAAACUGCCAGACUAGAGUACUGGAGGGGAGAAGGGAACACUUGGUGUAGCGGUGAAAUGCGUAGAUAUCAAGUGGAACACCGGCGGCGAAGNNNCUUCUCUGGACAGAUACUGACNCUCAUGGACNAAAGUUAGGGUAGCGAAAGGGAUUANAUACCCCUGUAGUCCUAANCGUAAACGGUGUGCACUAGNNNUGGGAGGCUUUACCCCCUUCCG